GGUCAACUGAUUGACUUCAUAGAGUCGGAGAGGAGAAGGAGAGUAUACAAUCCAAAAUGCGCUGUCUUCAUGUACGACUUGAUGUGGCAUGACAAGAUGUGGUGCAUCGAUGCUGCCACUGAAGAUGGGUCCUUCGGAAGGCUCGUAAAUGAUAACCAUGUUGAUCCUAAUUGCAAAAUGAAAAAGACCAUCGUUGGGGAAAAACCACAUCUGUCUUUUUGUGGACAGAGACAUAUACGUAAUUUCCUCUCCUAUGUUUAACUAUGGAGAUAGCAAUUGGCCAUGGAGACAAAAGGUGGAGACCCCCAUCAAGCAAACGGAGGUAGAAACGGCAACUAUGCAACAGGAGGAGACCACACCCCACGCUUUGAUGUCUUCCUUGGUCUAC